UAGCUUUGUUGCUUUGUGCCUCCACCAUGAC
rnacentral:piRNA from 1 species